GAACGCAUCUUGCGCUCCUUGGUAUUCUGAGGAGCAUGCCUGUUUGAGUGUCAUUUCAACCCUCAAGCCCCCGGGCUUGGUGUUGGAGAUCGGCGUGCCCUCCGGGGCGCGCCGGCUCCCAAAUAUAGUGGCGGUCUCGCUGUAGCUUCCUCUGCGUAGUAGCACACCUCGCACUGGAAAACAGCGUGGCCACGCCGUUAAACCCCCCACUUCUGAAAGGUUGACCUCGGAUCAGGUAGGAAUACCCGCUGAACUUAAG
rnacentral:misc_RNA from 1 species